rnacentral:rRNA from 1 species
GUGCAGGGACAUUAUGUACUUGGCCACAACUUUGGUCUUAGUACCUCACAGAACCUUCAUGACAAGUUGAAUCAUUUUGGUCAGGCUUCUGCAGUUCCAACCCUACAAAAGCAGCCAUUCCCCGGGAAUGGUCAACAAACAAAAGCCUAUCCCAGUGACAUGCACGCGCUGCAGUUCAUGUAGACGAAUCCCCAGACCGACCAUGAGAAUGGCGAUCAGAGUCAGUCAUCGAUACAGGUGUGGGAUUUUCUCCGAUCACCAUGGUUAUUACCGGUGCGUCGGUGGUUCAGUUAUAAUGCUACCCUGCCAGCCUCUCCCACAUGUAAUAAGAGGCAGAUGUUGUCCAAUCUAAAUGAUGAGUCUUUCCUCCAAUCUACAGAGUGA